GACGAACGCUGGCGGCGUGCUUAACACAUGCAGGUCGAACGAUGACGACCGAGCUUGCUCGGUCUGAUUAGUGGCGAACGGGUGAGUAACACGUGAGCAACCUGCCCUUCACUCUGGGAUAACCUCGGGAAAUCGGGGCUAAUACCGGAUAUGAGCUCCUGUCGCAUGGCGGGUGUUGGAAAGUUUUUCGGUGAAGGAUGGGCUCGCGGCCUAUCAGUUUGUUGGUGAGGUAGUGGCUCACCAAGGCGAUGACGGGUAGCCGGCCUGAGAGGGCGACCGGCCACACUGGGACUGAGACACGGCCCAGACUCCUACGGGAGGCAGCAGUGGGGAAUAUUGCACAAUGGGCGAAAGCCUGAUGCAGCGACGCCGCGUGAGGGAUGACGGCCUUCGGGUUGUAAACCUCUUUCAGCAGGGAAGAAGCGAAAGUGACGGUACCUGCAGAAGAAGCGCCGGCUAACUACGUG
rnacentral:rRNA from 1 species